CUUGUCCCCCGGGCCAUAUAUAAUGCCCUGAUAUUGCUGCCAACAGGAAGGGACAAGAGGACAGAUGGAGAAUGCGGGCUGGUUUACUGAGGGACUCGGAGACACUCUGGGGUGGUUCCCAUUUCUAAAUCAUCUCUCUGUGUCCCUGUAUUGUUGUCUCAGGUGGCCCUCAUCUUAACAAAAUAAACAGGUGGAAGGGCAAAAGGUUGCUAUUUUAAAGUCUGCUAGAAUCUGAGCUGCUUGAGGCAACUGAGCAGCUGAACCCUCAUCAGGAAGAAGACGGGCUGAUCCUGGGCACACAGGGAGUUCAGAGCACAGUGCAAGGCAAAUGAUCACCAUCACCUUCAGGUGAUCUUCCUCUGCCUCUGUUUCUGUGUCUAAGUCUGGGCCACCCAUGCCUGGCUCCAUCUGAGAAGGACUGCAACUGGCCCUCUGUCUUGAGCACCCUUGGUCGUGAGCACCCUCAAGACCCAGACCUCUCCCCGACCAAGAUUUAUCCUUUAACUGAAGUUCUGGGACAGGAUAAGACUCCAUCAAGAUUUCUUGACACUGAUCCUUCCCCCCAAAUUGCACUGGUUCCAGUAACUGAACUGGGGACUCAAAGCUUUCCCACUUGAGCAAUGUGAGAGAAGCAGGGCCUGAAAUGAGCUGAGAGGCCAUCCAGAAGCUGGUACAAAUGGUGCCUUGGCUCCAAACAGAGCAGCCAGGUGCAAGGUGGGCACAGGGAUUAUAGCAGGGAAGAUG
rnacentral:lncRNA from 1 species